rnacentral:lncRNA from 1 species
GCUGUGGAAGAUUUGUCCUUGUGGUCUUCACAGUAAACCUUGCUACCACUCACUCUUUGGGUCUGUGCCAUUUUUAAGAGCUGUAACACUCACCGCGAAGGUCCACAGCUUUAUUCUUGAAGUCAGCGAGACCAUGAACCCACCAGCAGGAACUGACUCUGGACACAAUGGUGGCUCCUGGCCAGACCCUCAGAACCUGAGGAAGGGUGAUCAUUUCUGGUCCAGUGUCUUGACUGGCACCAAGUCAAGCAUUGCCCUCCACGUCAUCAGCUGCAGGCCAGAUAAUCUAAGAUGACACUAAACAAUCACUGCAGAUGAAUUUGCUGCAUGGAGCCAUCUGGGAUGCCUCACACCGGCCAGCGGUAGAGCUGCCUGCCUCGCUUCCUCUUGCUUACUCACAGCUCUAAGUCUGAACUUGGCUGCAGCUGUCCUGAACAGCCCAGGAGGAGCCUAGGCAGGAGGAGGCUUCUCUCCUAUGCAAUUUGGCUAAAUUUUAGUUACUCAGAAGAGCAAAGGAAGCACUUCUGAAGGUUUGUCAGGCGCCAGCCACCCUAGAUUUCUCCCUGAUGGGUUUUGUCCAGCCCCUGCCUUAGUAUUGUCAGCCUGGACCGUGUUCUGGGCUUGGGUUCACAAUGUUUUUGGACCAGGCGGGUGUCUCUAGGUGUCUCUCUUCCUGUGCAUUUCUCCUGGGCAUAGACACCCAUCCUGGGGAACACUGGGAGGAGGGUGCAAGACCUCACUGCCCCCAGGCUUGGUUACCUUCAGGUGCAGCAGCCUCAUCCCCUGGUGAGUCUUCCUCCCACUCCUCCCAGAAGGCUCUGCUUCCUCCAGCCUGCUCCUUUCCUAGGUGUGAGCCUGCAGGGUUUGGUCACCCAGAUAUGAAGUAUUAAUGCUGGACUCCUGUCUGGAGUCAGGAAUCUAUUAAGGAAGACGUGUGGGAGAGGCCUGUGUUCAAGGCCCUUAGAACCAUUCUGUGUGAGCCAUCAGCUCCUUAAAAAGAAAUCAUCAAAGAUCCCAAACAAUGGCAGACUCCUCCUCCCACCCUUUGGGCUACUUGGUAAAUAGGCCCACCAAUUCUAUCUCCAAAAUAUCUGCCAUCAGGACCAUGUGGAUAUUGACAUCUUUAUCUUCCAUCAAGUCAGGGUUGCCACAAAAGCCUCCACCCAAGUUUCCCUGAAAAAGCCCAGUUUCUCUAAAAGUGAGCAUGAACACAGUGCUGGGCAUGGCCCUCUCCUCUCAGUCCUUCUGUGAUGCCCAGCACCUUCACAGCCAAGGCCAGACUUCCUAGUGGAAGAGCAAAGUCCCUCCUGAUGCGGCUUCUGCCUGCAUCUGCAGCCCCAGUUCCCCCAAAUCACGCUGCACCCCGAGCUCCUCAUGGAGAGCCACCGUGUUUCACACCUGCCGUGCUCUGGGCCAGGUCGCUAGGCUUGCUGGUCCUUAGACUUGGAGUGCCUGAUACUGUUUGCCCAUCUGUCUCCUUGUCAGCCUUUGAGAAUUGAAUCUGGCAGCCGCUCCCCGGGAAGCCCAUGAGAGCCUCAGCCCCGCACUCACACAGACCCUGAGCUAGGUGGCCCCUGCCUGUGCCCCUCAGCUCCAAGCCCAGCUUCCAUGCAGCUUUUGCACAGUUUACCAGCACCAUCAAGACCCCUCUGGGAGGACAGAGAGCUCUGGGAGGACAGAGAGCUCUGAAGGACAGAACACGCAUGGCUUUCUGGUUGUUCCUCUGAAGCCUAGCACAACACUGACACGUGAGAAAUACCGGCUGAAUAAAAGGUGGAAGUGAAAAAGAACAACACUGACAUGUGAGAAAUACUGGCUGAGUAAAAGGCAUUGUGCAUUCCCUGCCCAUGAGGAAGGAAGCAGCUCAUUCCAUUUUCACCCCAGCAGAACCCCUGCAUGCAGGUUUAGGUCAGCACUAGCUGCCAGCAGGAUGGAGACCCAGCAGCAUGCGGCACACGGGAGUCUCGCCGGGGGUCCUUGAUAGAAGAGUAACAAGACUUUUCUUGAAAUAGUGUCCUGAGUUGAGAUCUGAGAAGAACCUGUUAUGCAUCCUAGAACACAGUGCAUUUGCAAGUCAUAAGAUGUUAGCACCGAUCAUGGAGCCUUGUGUGUUCUUAGGGGCUAUUUCCAUGACCUUGUCGGGGGUUCAAUGAGCAGCUUCAACAGAAAACUGGAUUUCCUUUUCCUCCAAGGCUGUCUUAUUUCCAGGUUACUCUGGACCUAAUUUUAAUCGUGCACACCUACCAUGGCAGGCUGUUUUCCUGUCCUCCCAGCGGUCUCCAUACAAUCUCACUGCUGGGUAGCACCUCCAUUCCCUUGCUUACCUAAGCCAUUAAAACCUGUAACAACUCACAAAACCACAAAAAGCAACAGAAAAUAUCAGAAGAUAAUCAAAUGAAUCAAGACCUCCAGAAAACUGUGUUUAAUAUAAUUCAGUUAUUUCAUUUGAUGAUAAUGUCCACAGUUAAUCAGGCAUUCCUUAUCAUUUGGAUCUACAUGUUGAAUAAACACAAUAUCCCUAGACCUUUGAGAGUUUUCUAAAUAAUCUGCUGUUGAUUUUCUUAGGUACUGAGCAGAUUACUAUGAAUAUUCCUGAUAGAAUAUGCUGACAAGAAACAAACAGGACAAGCCUAAAAUAGAGGCUCUGGUAAACGUUCAGGGAAAAGUUUAUUACUGACAUGUGAGAGCUCUGUUUUCAAGGUUAAUAAAAUAAAGUUGACA